CACGAGGGUCUCACUGUCUUAAGGAAAUUUCCAGUGAAAUUGAAUUUGUAGUGAAGAUGCUACAUCCAAAUUGUUAGACAAGAAGUCCCCAUGGAACUUUACUGGAGACUUAUGUGGCUUAAAUUAAUUUAUUUCUUACAAAUAAAUAGUUUUAAAAUGUGGUGUUAACCCCUCGGAUUAACUAGGGUUAUAAAAGCUCACUCUUUUAUUUAAAGAAAGCCAACUCAAAACUUUAUGUCUUUGGGAUUUGAUAAGUGGGACAGUUUGGUUGGGGCGACCGCCUUUAAAAAAGUAACGAAGGCGGGCUUAAGAUACAUAUUUAGUGAUGUCUGACUGCCAAGGGGAGAUCCUGAGCAGACACUUACUUUUUAGGUGGGUUUAAGUGACCCGUUGACUUAGGGUGAAAUAGUUAACGAUAAACA
rnacentral:rRNA from 1 species